GGGAGAACUUGGAAAGGUAACUUCCUGUGGCUUGUUCCUGUCUGAACCAAGUAGGAGUUUGCCUACCUGUUCUUGUGGAGCUGAAGCUACCAUUUCUUCUGUCCUAGUAUCCUGGUGGGAGAUCCUAUCAACUUUGUCUCCUAAUUUAUCAUCCAACUGUGGUGCUGAUUCCUGAGUGUGUUUCCUGACAUCUGUGAAGAGAACUGCUGGCAAGUCAGUAAACCUGUCUGUGGGAAAGGCCAGAAGCCAUCUUGGGCCCAGGCUGAAGAAGAUUUUAAAGAUGGUUUUCAGAUGGAUUAUCAGUGAAAACCCAGCAGACAACAGGAAGUAUAAUGGUUGUCCAUCAAUCAGAAAAUUAUGGUAUAUGAAUGCAAUAGACACUUGCUUCAUGACUGGUAGGGCGAAUUCUCAAGACUUCAUGCAUCGAAGAGGAGCUAAAUACUGUGGCAAAUGCAAGAACAUGGAGCCAGUACUGAAGCCAAAUUUUCACUAAAUAAUAAUGAAGCAGAGAAUAAAGUUUAGAAAAAUCUUAGUUUUAUUUCUCUA
rnacentral:lncRNA from 1 species